rnacentral:ncRNA from 1 species
CUUAUCAAGAGUGGUGGAGGGACUGGCCCUUUGAAACCCGGCAACCUGUCAGACGACAAGGUGCUAAUUCCAGCGGUAAAACGAGAGAUGAG